rnacentral:rRNA from 1 species
GAAGGUGAUAAGGUUAAUACCCUUAUCAAUUGACGUUACCCGCAGAAGAAGCACCGGCUAACUCCGUGCCAGCAGCCGCGGUAAGGAGGGUGCAAGCGUUAAUCGGAAUUACUGGGCGUAAAGCGCACGCAGGCGGUCAAUUAAGUCAGAUGAAAGCCCCGAGCUUAACUUGGGAAUUGCAUCUGAAAUCUCUGGUUGGCUAGAGUCUUGUAGAGGGGGGUAGAAUUCCAUGUGUAGCGGUGAAAUGCGUAGAGAUGUGGAGGAAUACCGGUGGCGAAGGCGGCCCCCUGGACAAAGACUGACGCUCAGGUGCGAAAGCGUGGGGAGCAAACAGGAUUAGAUACCCUGGUAGUCCACGCUGUAAACGAUGUCGAUUUAGAGGUUGUGGUCUUGAACCGUGGCUUCUGGAGCUAACGCGUUAAAUCGACCGCCUGGGGAGUACGGCCGCAAGGUUAAAACUCAAAUGAAUUGACGGGGGCCCGCACAAGCGGUGGAGCAUGUG